rnacentral:rRNA from 1 species
GAUGAACGCUAGCGGGAGGCUUAACACAUGCAAGUCGAGCGGGAUUCACCUUCGGGUGAUGAGAGCGGCGCACGGGUGCGUAACGCGUAUGCAACCUACCUUAUACAAAGGGAUAGCCCAUGGAAACGUGGAUUAAUAUCUUAUGGGACUAAUUAAUCGCAUGGUUGAUUAGUUAAAAUUUCGGUGGUAUAAGAUGGGCAUGCGUCUGAUUAGCUAGUUGGUGAGGUAACGGCUCACCAAGGCGACGAUCAGUAGGGGGUUCUGAGAGGAUUACCCCCCACACUGGUACUGAGACACGGACCAGACUCCUACGGGAGGCAGCAGUGAGGAAUAUUGGUCAAUGGACGAAAGUCUGAACCAGCCAUCCCGCGUGCAGGAUGACGGCCCUAUGGGUUGUAAACUGCUUUUCUACGCCAAGAAACCUACCAACGUGUUGGUAGCUGACGGUAGUGUAGGAAUAAGCACCGGCUAACUCCGUGCCAGCAGCCGCGGUAAAGU